CCAUCUUGCUGAAAAUCUUAUCUACUCGUUGCUCUGGCGUGAGACCAUCCUCAUUCAUUUUCAUCAUUAUCACAGUACCCACCAUCUUGUAAAUGGCCUUUGGAAAGAAACAAAAAGAUUAUCUUGGUUGGUAAGAAGUAAACCUACCGUAAUCAUCUGUAGAACACUUGACCAAGAAUGAAAAGAUUUUUCCAUCAGGAUAUGAAGCUUCACAAAAUCAUGCUGUCUCACAACGUGCUGAGGAGCCUGGCUGUUGUCGAGGAGUCAGCACGUACUGCUAAAGGGGACCGACUACACCUUUGCAGAUCUCUCUGUUACUUUCAUUGGUGGUCACUAUAAACACUACGGAGAAAGGCAAAGAGAUGAAGGGAAUUGGAAAAAAAUAAUUUUUGUGCCUUACAUCACUAGAGAACCUCGCUAAUAUGCUUCCCAGUUCUACUCCCUGCGAACAUCCUCAGUGUAAUGUACACGCCCCUGGGCUCCCAGGCAUUCCUUAGGCACUGACUGCAGGCCGCCAUUAGUGGUGUUCAGGACUGUCUGCAGCAGAAUGAGAAAUUCUGUUUUGUCUUCAUCAGUCACUCUUCUGUGCAGUGACUCUGCUCCCCUGUACUGAGAAGCACCAGGAAUGGAGUUGCCCUUGGAGCCGAGAGGCAUAACAUAGCCGAGUAUCCCUUUAACCCAUUAAAUCAAGCGCUGCAGAGUGAAUGAUAGAGAUUGUAGGAAAUGGGUCAGGAAGAUACUGGGAGCAUGGACUGCUGUGAAUCAAGGAAAACAGACAAGGGGAGCAGGGAAGGAGACCAGCUGCUAAUGAGACUAGGCAUCUACCCCCCCAACAGAAACACUCUGGAGCCCAGCAGUCAGACUGGGAGCCCUAGAACUGAGACAACUGGCCUAGAGAUGAAGAAAGGAGGACAAGAACACUGCUGUGCCCCCUGUUCCUAGGCAGACGCAGGAACUGAAAUAACCUCCUCAAUCUAUUCCCAGCAAACGGAACAUGAAAUUACCUAAAUUGGAAAGUAUCAGGGGGUAGCUGUG